rnacentral:snRNA from 1 species
AGCUUUGCGCAGUGGCAAUAUCGUAGCCAAUGAGGUUUAGCCGAGGCGCGAUUAUUGCUAAUAGAUAUGUACACACGACUUAAUCUUAAAGAAGAUAUCAGAAUGCCCACUGAAUGAG